GUGUCCCACCCGAUCCCAUUCCGAACUCGGCCGUGAAACCCGACUGCGCCAAUGGUACUAUCGCUCAAGCGAUGGAAGAGUAGGUCGUCGCCAGGC
rnacentral:rRNA from 2 species